UCACCCGCUUUGAAUGGGAAGAGUACAAAAACAGACGCUUACAGAGAGGGACUCCUAGAGCUGAAAGGUUUCCCAGCCAGUCUUUUUUGGAAGGUCGCCCAGGAGCGCAAUUUCUUGAACAUAAAAAGUAGAGAAAUUCGGGAAAGGCCCGUUAUCCCAUUAAGUGCGUGAAUGCCUCAUUCGGCGUUCAUGAAAAAAGGUGGUACCGCGAGAGAGUUCUCUUCGUCCUUUUA
rnacentral:ncRNA from 1 species